AAGUAUACCGUAAACGGACGGUAGAGAUGUUACAAUUGAGGGGAGAGGGUUCAAAUCGAUUCGGACCCAACAUGGAAUCAGUGGAUCUGCAUCGAGUCUAAGUUAAGAAUCUAAGCCGACUUGGUUCCUCCAACUUGACUCGAGAAAACCCCAACCGGUAAUAUGUCAAGCCGGGCCGUCCUCCCCCAUCCCAAACCCAAACCAGGAGUACUUUGGUCGAACACCUUCGCUUCAAGGCAAGAUGCUGCGCGAGUCCACGGGCAAGUCUCUCCUCCUCCUCCCUCGUCUUCUUCCGCUCCUCACUCGAAGAAACCGAAGGAACCAUCAUGAAAUCCUAAACUUCAUGGCUCUUUCUCUCUCAAAUCACGUUGGUCGCAAGAAUAAAAAGAAGGGUUCUAGGCCACCUGAUCGUGGGUUUAUUUCCUAUCACCUAUCAGCUCAGCUAUAGAGGGUUAUCUUUUACCAGUGUGAAGGUGAUUCUUGUUCUUGCUAUGUUCUACACCAGUACAUUUACAGAGGAUUCAUUCAUCGAAAGACAAUGUGAUGCGCAUGAUAUGCGUUUGUCACCUUAUACCGAUUAUAGGCGUAUCGAUGAUCAUUACAUCAUGUAGAUUAUUGUAAUACCUUGGAGAACUUCUCUGAGAUGAUCAAUUACCAUAUAUGGGCAAAGCUUUCAACUUUUCUGAGAUAGUCAAUGACCAUAUCUGAGCAAAGCUUUCUCUUAGUAUGUUGGAGGUCAAUACUUGUUCUCACUAUGUUCGACACCAGUACAUUUGAAAAGGUCCUUUUGUUAGAAUUCAUUCAUCUGAAGACAUUGUGAUGCACUAGAAAUAUGGUUUUGAUCUUAUAUACAUUAUAGGCAUAACGAUGAUCAUUGCAUCAUGUAGAUUCUAGUAGCUUGGAAAACUUUUUCUGAGAUAGUCAAUGACCAUUUCUGAGCAAAACUUUCUGUGUGUGUGUGUGCAUGCAUUUGAACUCAUUUAUCAAAGAGCAUACUAUUUAUUACUGCUGGAUCUCUCAUCAUCAUGGUAUAAUCCUACAAUCAUGACUUGGAGAAAGAGUCUUAUAUGAUUCUGACUCAUUUUUUGAGACAUCAUAUUAUAAAUGCUCAAGUUUACUCUAUCACAGUUCAUCCCAACACCCAUCUCAUGAUAGGAAAAAUUAAUAUAUGAUGUUAAUGCAUAUUAACAUCUGAGGUAGAGAAACAAAACUAGACAACAUAUGUUGCAUGCAUAUUAAUGAACCGAUACACCAGAUGGAAAUGUCAUGAUUGGUAGAUAUUUUUGGUUGUCAUUGGACCAAUAAACUCGUUCAAGAAUAGAUUGCAUUACAAGUCUCUCUGUCAAUUGAUAUUCAAGAAAGAUACUCCCAGUUACAGAUAUUUUUUUUCUUUCUGCAGUCACCACUCUAAUAUGACUGCAGUAAGCCUCUUUUUCAAUUUAUCAAGCUGCAGUCACCACUGAUACUAACUGCAUCUGUGGGAGAGUGAGCCUUAACAAGAUGGUGAAGUUGCUCUUUUGCAGCAUAGGUGAUUGAGUUCGAACCCCAGAAACAACCUUUAGAUUUACGGAGGGAAGACUAAGCUCCUCAAACUCCACCUUGGCGGCAGCCUCAUGCACUGAGUUGUCCUACAUUUAUAUUUUCCUGAGUGUCAAAGAAUAUUCCACUAAUCUGAUGAUAUUUUGACUGAGGAGAUUGCUCUCACUAUGGGGAUCAGCCAAUGAUUUGUUUGCGAACAUUAGCUGCCGGGAUUUGGGUUAACAAAAUGCUGUUUCUCUUUCUCCAGAGAUGCUGAGACACAGCAGGCUUUACUUGGUAUUUGCAUACAAGUACCUCACAUGGAUAUUCAAGAUUCUCGAUGAUGUUUAUUAUCGGGCCAACAAACCCAGCUCGACAAACAAAAUUUAAGAUCGUCUGAUCCCAGAAAUAUCUAGAAGAAGACACUGAAGACAGCUACCCUAGACUGCUUUUAAGAUGAGGCCAUGGUGUAGCUGUUGCUAGAAUUAUCGGCAUGGUCCUAAGAAUUUGUUGUGCCAUGAAGAAAACAGAGCAGUGAUACGGGUCCCCAGGGCCAUACCAGUGGUGUAAAGUUCAUCGUCUCGUGCCCCAUCUCACAUGUUGAUUCAUUUGCUGCAGCAUUGGAGUUGUUGGGGUGUUCUUGAGGACCCAAAACAUGACAGAGCCAUUUAGUCUUGUCAUAUCUAUUACAUUUCUGAUGGGGCAUACAAAAACUUGGACAUAGCUCAACCACAGAUGCCAGUGUCUCCCAUCUCCUCAACAUCUCACGGAAGAGCUUCUGACCUAAUUUGUCGGCGCAACGAAAGCAGAGCGGGAAGUAAUUGCUUUCAACUUUAAGAGAAAAGUUCUCUGUUAACUCUCCCGAAUUCAUGAACAUGAUUGUAAAGUUGCUUCUUUGCAGUCUGAUGACCGACAAAUUCCAAACCUCGUAUAUUAACCUUCCUUGUAUCAUUACUCAUGUAUU